AGCGAGUUCGGCAACACAUCGUGUCCGCAAAACCCCAUUUACUAAAGUGUUAGCGACAAGAUUUUAUCUACUGUUAGUUGAAAUAUUCAUAAUUUUCAAGCAAAACACAUCAACACAAAAUCCUACUACACAUGAUCGUAGUAGGAUUCUGUCAAUUGCGUGCGCAUAAACUCUUAUCUUGGGU